CUGUGUAUGGGAGUCUGUUUGUACAUGAUGGAGUCUGUUUGUACAUGAUGAGUCUGUUUGUACAUGAUGGAGUCUGUUUGUACAGGAUGGAGUCUUUGUACACGAUGGAGUCUUUGUACAAGAUGGAGUCUUUGUACAAGGAGUCUGUUUGUACAUGAUGGAGUCUGUUUGUACAUGAUGGAGUCUGUUUGUACAUGAUGGAGUCUGCUGGUACAUGGAGUUGUUUGUACAUAUGAUGGAGUCUGCUGGUACAUGAGUUAGUCUGUUUGUACAUGAAUGGAGUUCGUUUGUACUGAUGGAGUCUUUUGUACUGAUGGAGUCUUUUGUACAUGAUGGAGUCUGUUUGUAUCAGAUGGAGUCUGUUUGUACAAGAUGGAGUCUGUUUGUACAUGAUGGAUCUGUUUGUACUGAUGGGAGUCUGUUUGUACAUGAUGGAGUCUGUUUGUACAUGAUGGAGUCUGUUGUACAUGAUGGGUCUGUUUUACAUGAUGGAGUUGUUUGUACAGGAUGGAGUCUGUUUGUACAGGAUGGAGUCUGUUUGUACAGGAUGGAGUCUGUUUGUACACGAUGGAGUUGCUUGUACCGAUGGAGUCUUUGUACACGUGGAGUCUUUGUACACGAUGGAGUUGUUUGUAC
rnacentral:lncRNA from 1 species